rnacentral:rRNA from 1 species
GAUGAACGCUAGCGGCAGGCCUAAUACAUGCAAGUCGAACGGUGUCUUCGGACAUAGUGGCGCACGGGUGCGUAACACGUAUGCAACCUACCUUACAUUGGGGGAUAGCCUUUCGAAAGGGAGAUUAAUACCGCAUAAGACAGUAGCUGGGCAUCCAGCAGCUGUUAAAGAUUUAUCGAUGUAAGCUGGGCAUGCGUCCAAUUAGCUAGUUGGUGAGGUAACGGCUCACCAAGGCAAUGAUUGGUAGGGGAACUGAGAGGUCAAUCCCCCACACUGACACUUAGAUACGGGCCAGACUACUACGGGAGGCAGCAGUAGGGAAUAUUGGGCAAUGGACGCAAGUCUGACCCAGCCAUGCCGCGUGCAGGAUGAAGGCGUUAUGCGUUGUAAACUGCUUUUAUACAGGAAGAAACGACUCUUGCGAGAGGCAUUGACGGUACUGUAUGAAUAAGCACCGGCUAACUCCGUGCCAGCCGCCGCAGUAAUAC